rnacentral:rRNA from 1 species
GAUGAACGCUGGCGGCGUGCCUAAUACAUGCAAGUCGAGCGAACAGAUGAGGUGCUUGCUCCUCUGACGUUAGCGGCGGACGGGUGAGUACCACGUGGAUAACCUACCUAUAAGACUGGGAUAACUUCGGGAAACCGGAGCUAAUACCGGAUAAUAUAUUGAACCGCAUGGUUCAAUAGUGAAAGACGGUUUUGCUGUCACUUAUAGAUGGAUCCGCGCCGCAUUAGCUAGUUGGUAAGGUAAAGGCUUACCAAGGCAACGAUGCGUAGCCGACCUGAGAGGGUGAUCGGCCACACUGGGACUGAGACACGGUCCAGACUCCUACGGGAGGCAGCAGUAGGGAAUCUUCCGCAAUGGGCGAAAGCCUGACGGAGCAACGCCGCGUGAAGGAUGAAGGUCUUCGGAUCGUAAAACUCUGUUAUUAGGGAAGAACAAAUGUGUAAGUAACUAUGCACGUCUUGACGGUACCUAAUCAGAAAGCCACGGCUAACUACGUG